rnacentral:rRNA from 1 species
CGCGUAGGCCGUUGAGUUAGUUAAUUGUGAAAUCCCAAAGCUUAACUUUGGAACUGCAAUUAAAACUGCUCGACUAGAGUUUGAUAAAGGAAAGCGGAAUACAUAGUGUAGAGGUGAAAUUCGUAGAUAUUAUGUAGAACACCAGUUGCGAAGGCGGCUUUCUGGAUCAACACUGACGCUGAGGCGCGAAAGUAUGGGUAGCAAAGA